AUUGAUUUCGGAUUUUGAAUUUUUAUAUCUGGUCGAAUUUUAAAUACGAUUUUAGAUUUUGAUUCUUUGCUUAGAUCGGUUCAGAUCUUAUAUAAAUAAUUAAGAGUCUGUUUAAUAUUGAGGCCCAUCUAAUAUUAAUAGAUAAAAUAAAGUUAAAAUAAAAUUGUAUGGUAAUAUAUUUGUGUAUUAUUAGAUGGAAUCAUAGAAAGUAUAUUAAAUUAAAUAGUUUUUUGCCGUACCUUUCGUCAUAUGUAAUAUAAUUUUUCUGUAACUUCAAACAAAGUCUAAAUAUUGCUUGGAAAUAUUUACAUUCCUAAAAGGGCGUUUGGUUUACUGUAAAACUAGACCGAAAAAAAA
rnacentral:lncRNA from 1 species